CGUCCACAUCACGUUGAAACAUAGGUUCCCAUACGAUCACCGCAGUUAAGCAACAUCGAGCCUGGUCAGUACCUCGAUAGAUGACCGCUUGGGAAUACCAGGAGCUGUAAG